rnacentral:lncRNA from 1 species
AAGAGUAAAGUACUUCCGCUUCCUUAGGUGGAGCUGGAAAGGUGGAGGCGGAAGUGACUGAUCAAUUCAGGGGCGUGGGGUUCGUUUAGGUUUUGCCCUGUGUAUGACCUCGUUUGGAGCCAUGAAACCAGGUGGCUUUUCUACAAUAUAAAGAUGGAAAUGGGAAGAAGAUGUUCAUUGCAAAUUAAGGAAGCUCUUCCACGAGUUCACGAAUGGAAAUAACAUCAAGAGUUUUUCAUCUUCUUAGUGUGCAAGAACACAGCAUAGUAUGUGACAUAAAGGCUUGAUGACUGUGUUGAAUGAAUGUAUGUUGUUAUUUUAGGGCAAUGAUGGAAAGCACCAAGUGGAGUCUGGAGCUAGACUGAUCUGUGUUCAAUCCUGUCUUGGUUACUCAUUGGGGGGCCUCGACUUUCAUGUCUCUGUAAUGUCCCUGACAGUAUCUGCCUCACAGGGUUGCUGUGAGAGUCAAGCGAGAUGUCUGAGGAAUAGUCUUAGUGGAUUAUCCCAAACUUGACACAUUUUUUGCAAAAUGCUAUACAAAAAGAAGAUACAUGCGAUUAUGACAAGAUUCUCCACUUGGUGUGACCAGUCUCAUACAACCCAAGGCUGUGUGUCCAAAGGCAACUGUACUGAAUACCGGAAAGCAUGUAUUUGUUUGCUAAAUUGCUCUCUUUCCACCAGUGAUAUCAAUUCUGAAAUACUUUUGAGAUCUUGACAAUAAUCAAAAGGUAGCCAGGUGCAUCGGGGAAAGCACUGACAUUGGAGUCAGACAGACUGAAGUUCAUAUCUGAUUCUGCUAUAUGACAACGUGUGGGCUAUGUGGCUAACUUCUCAGAGCUUCAGUUUUCUCAAGGGCAAAAUGAAAAUAAUAGAAAUAAUAGAAUCCACCUCACAGGGCUGUGGUGAGAAUUGGAGAUGAAGCACAUACAGCAUAUUACAUCAACUAAACACAUGCUAAGCACAUGACAGAAUUGCUCUGUUGAAGUUUUGCAAGGUCAAAUGACUCACUUUGUCUAAUGGAACGGGAACGAACAAUUUUUUUGUGUCACGUUUGAACAGAUACCUUUGAGAAGUUUAUGAUUCUCCAAGUUCUCUUUCUCCUACUGUGGCACCUACUGACAAGAUAAAUGUGUAGAGGUUCCUGAGUCUAGGGGUGAGUCUUGCAUAUCUGAUGAAUCCACCAGUAAAAGUACCACUGCUGAAAUCACGCAAAUAUAUUUUUUUAGACCUUAUCAACCUUGGCAUGGAAUUAGAUGAGCAAAAAGCUGAGUUGAAUUGAUGAAAAGAAUCCCAAGUCAUUAAUUACUAAUGAUGGAGCUUGUAAAGUACAGCAUCACUGGGGAAAGCAACUGACUUUCCUCAUACACAUUAUAUUUUUAUCUGAAUUUCAAUACUGCUUAAAUAUGUACUUCAUUACAGGGCACAACUAAAAUAGAAGGGCACCUGCUAAGUCAGAGCCAUAAAACAGAUCUACAGCCUGCUGGCAUGUGAAAUUUCUCUAAUUUAUAUUUUUUAUGAAACUACCCUCACAUUAUGUGGUUGGCAGCAUAAAUAAUAAAGCAUGUUACUGAAGCAAUUUUACAUUUACUGUAUUAGUAAGUAAAUGCAAUGGCCACUCUUAUUCUCAAAUAAAAACUACCCAGCCUUUUCAUGAAAGAUGUUUGCAAUUUCCAUUGGCCUGUAUAUGCAAUAAAAAGCCAUAACUCAUCAAAA